AAGUUUUUAUCAUAGUUUCACUAAAACUGCGGAUUGCCUCUCUCGAUUAUUGAACCUUAGAAACUUUGUAUUAUAUAUAAAAAACAAAAACAAAAAACAAACAAAAUAUAUCGAUGAUUGUUUAAAAAAUGAAAUGAAGCAAAAUUUGUUAAAUGUUAUUCAAUUGUUUCGUACGCUCCUUUUGUAAAUCUUUUUAAAGGGGACAAUUCUGCUAUAAAUAUUAGUCUGCUCAUUCAGAAUUAUAGAACUUUUGAAAUAAUAGUAUCAUCUUGCAUGUUCAUUCUUCUUAAAUUUGUUUUCAUAGAAGUCCUUAAGUUUCUCUGUUUUUGAUUGAAAUUAUGCAAAUAUUUGUGAUUAUAUGCAGGUUUAAUUCAUGAGCUAAGUCAAAUAAUUAUUUCUUCCCAAACGAGGGACUACUUAAUGAUUUUUAAAUACUUAAUUGGGUGUAGUAUUCAGAUUUGUGCAUCACAAAGCUAACAUCAUGGCUUCGACGAGAUAAAUUUCUGACGUCGAACCUAAAAUAUAGGCUGUGAUCGUAUGGCAGGGUAGGGGAGGAAUUGCCUCGCUGGGUGUUGAAGUCUGUAAGCUAAUUAGAAAAUCAUAAGCUCUCGUUUUCACUUUUCGAGUUGCCCACGGGGACUAGCAAAAUCUUCCAGCACCUUGAGUGCAAACAUCCGCUUUCUUGUGUAGGGUGUUUGAUUCAAAUCCCUAGCUUCUACAGUGCCGAAUUUUAAGUAAAAGAAAAACAUCAUGAAGUUCCUCUGCGUUUUAUUUUUCGUCAUAGCGACUGCUUUCUGUCUGGAUACUGUUCUCAGGCUCCCCCAAGGCACUCCUGUUCAGGCUGCUCCAUGGGUCAACAUCGCCAACUCUGGAAAUUUUGCACCGACUAAUCCACCUACUCGACUUCACCCCCCUCCUCAACGUUAGGGUUUCAAAACUCUGGUCUUGCUUUUCCAUCUCUCUUGGAAUUGAGAAAUGCAUUGAAGUCGCAGAUUUCAGUGUUAUCAUACUGUUCUUUUGAGAUAUUCUCUUUGUAUACAGCGCAUCCUUUUUUUUUUUUUUUUUCAAAAAUGACUUUUUUGGUUAAAAAUAAACAUCAACAUUUAUUAAGUAUUUUUAUUUCUGCAAUAAUUAUUAUUUCUGAUCUCAAACACAGUGAAUGGAAGCUUUAUACUUUAAAGCUUUCAUAAGGGAACCUGAAGUACUUUAAUUAAAAUGAGAAACCAUCAAUGAUAUUUAG
rnacentral:lncRNA from 1 species